GUAAAUUACAGUCACUAAGUGUCAGCUGAAGAUACACUAUUUGAUGACUAUUUCAUGGCCUUUGUGAACAUAUUACUCUGGAAGCACUUUCCUUAUUUAUACACCUAUUACAUGUCUGCUUCUGGCAGCACCAAUCUACUUCAGAGAAGAUAUGGGCAUUGAAAAAAAUGCAUAUGGAUUUAACUUUCACUGUGGCAAAAGUUAGCCACUGGGCAAUAAAGUGCCCUGGCAUCGACUGCUAUACAGUAUGCUAUCUAAAAUGGACAAGCAGGACACAAAACAAAGGACUACCAAUCCUUGCCAAGACAAGUGUGGUUGCAGCUUUGGCAACAGGCAUCCUCUGAGGCCAGGACAAUAUGGCACCAUUGCUGAAGUGGCUUUGCAAUCCGGAAAGGGUACAGUGCCCCUUUCUUUGAAGGCAGCUGAAGAGGCAGUGGAUCAAUGGCUUUUGCCAUGCAGUGGAACAGUAGCUGAAACAAUUAUUCUUGAAGAAAUAACUAGGCUGACUGGGUCUAACCUCUCAAUGAUAGACUGGCAUUUAAUAAAGAAGAUGAAGCCACCCACAAGCUGGGAAGAAUGGGAGGCUGAAUUCCAAAAACACCAGCAAUUUCCAGAAUUUAGAAUCCUGAAUCAUGACAGGACACUGGUGGAAUUCAAGUUUAUCUGGUACAUGGAAUACUCAAAAUGAAUGUUGAAUAGAGCUGCAGGCCUUGCAUAUAUCCUACUUCACAAAUGAGUCUGUCAGACACGCUAAGCCUAUAAGCUGAAGAUGAUGCCCCAACAUGCAAAGAAACCUCGGGUGACUGUCCAAGAACCUGGCUGUUUCUGUCAUAACUCAUUUUUUGGAAGUCACUUGUUUGCACUUCCUGUUUUACUAGGUAAUGUUAUUUCCUUCUUGAGUCUCUGAGGGAGUUGAAGAUUAGAUAGUUAAAGUUACCGUUUUCCUUGCUAAGAAAUUCAGAAAAGAAACUCAGUAAGAGGUGUUUACUGUAUAAUUUUAAAAGACAUCAAAAGAUAGUUUUCCAUUGGUAAUAUAAGUUAGCAUAGAAAGUUAAUUAGGUACAUUUUGAACCUACCUAAUAGGAUAGAUAAUGGAUAGAUAGGAUAGGAAUGGAAUGCAAAUGGACUAGACAUUGUUGAUGUAUUUAUUGCUUGUAUAUAUUGUAUAUAGUUAUUGUA